CGAUGUCCAACCAACGUCUAUCAGAUCUGAGCUCUCCGAUGAGUCGGUCCAACCCGAAAGAAGCAUUGCUGAAUACAUGCUAGCCAAGGCAAAUAUCAGGUGGAAAAAAGUAUAGGAAUAACUAACAGGCUUUGCUUCUUUUUCCUUGGUUUCUUUCCCUUCUUCCAACUCUUUGCCAUCGAGAAGAGGUUUCUUUUCAGCUGCGCCUGUUCCACAAAGUUCAAGUUUGGAAGUACUUAAUAUGUAAUAAACAAGAAGCAUAGGAGUAGCUUUCAUGAAUUGCAAAUUCAUCUUUAUUGCUUCCAUUGAAUAAAAAGGAUUACAAAAAUUAGUUUUG
rnacentral:lncRNA from 1 species